AUUUACCCUACAGCCUAGCAUAGAUACACACCUAAAAAUAAUUUUUCUGGACUCAGCCUGGGAGUGAGGCUUAAAUGGCAAUUUAUUCCUGCCUCCAGCUUAUUAAAGAAAUUCCCCAGUCCCCUAUCGUCCCCUUCAUCAAUUUUGAUAAGAGUCAUCCAGAUCCAGUGACUCAGGGACAAAACAAUCACCACCUCAAGUGUUUCAUUCAAUCCUACAGACUAGAGCUCCAGGAAGACUGAAUAGAGACACCCAGGAGAGCUUUCCUGGUUGACAGCACUCCCUGCCUAUCGCCACACAUUGAUGCCAGGAGGGUGAGGUGAACUCACUUCAAGGCGAGAGGGCCGUUGAAGCUUCUGUUUGAAACCCUCUCAGACUCUGCCCUAAGCAUCUCUUCCUCUGGCUGAUUUUAAUCUGUAUCCUUUCCCUGCAAUAAACCAAAGCCAUGGGUGUAACUGUUCUGUGAGCCCUUCUAGUAAAUUUUCAAAACUGAGGGUAGUUUGUGGAUCCCCCCGCCAACCUUGAGGUUCAUGUCAGAAGUAAGAGAGGUCUUGGGGACUGUAUCCUCUAACUGUCUUGGGCAAACUCUAUUCCUCUAAACUCUUUUUUUUUUUUUAACUUUUUACACUGAUAUUCUAGAUUGUUUUUCAAUCAGUAAAGCAAACCUGAUAAAGAAGUUCUAAGAAUCAGGCCCUUCAUACCAUUUAUAGUGGAGGUUGCCUGGCAUUCUGUGUAUCAUUCUAGUUCUUAGCAUGCACAGCUAUCUCCUCUGGAUUCCAUGAGGCAGGAUUCAUCUCAGUUCCCUCUAGCACAGUGGCUAACAGAGCAGGUACUCAGAAGUGCCUGUGACUAGAGUCACAUAUAAGACAGGGUCUGUUCUCAGGAGCUCAGCAUGCACAUGUGGAGACUUCACAGGAAAAUGUAAGGACUUUCACAUUGGUGGCAUCUAGUUUCAAAGAGAAUGGCGAGUGUCUCAGUCAGCUAGGGCUGCCAUAGUAAAAUUCCACACUUCUGUUGGCGUAAGCAACAGAAAUGUACUUGCUCACAGUUCUGGAGACUGGAAGUCCAAGAUCAUAGUGCCAGCAAGGUCAUGCUCUGGUGAAGCAUCUCUUCCUGUCUUGUAAACAGACAUCAUAUUGUGUGUGUUCACAUGGCCUUUGCUUGGUGCAUCUGCAGAGAAAGAGAGGGAGAGAAAGACAAAGAGAUGGAGAGAGAGCUGUUUCUUAUAAGGGCACUAAUCCUAUCAUGGGAGCCUUACCCUCAUGACCUCAUCUCAACCUAAUGACCCUCCCAAAGCCCUGUCUCUAACUACCAUCGCAUUGCGGGCUAGGGCUUCCACAUAGGAAUUUUGGGGGGACAAAAUUCUAUUUAUAGCAGUGACUUAAUCUGAGGUGACCCAAGCAGCUUUGAAUAGGAUUGGGCCUGGUGGACACAAGAGGAAUGGAAAACAGGGUCUGAAGGUGUCGCUUGCAGGGUGACCCCAGGGCCCAGAAUGCCCAUGUCUUCUGCUCCUUAAUCUCCAUGUCCCAAGAGGUGCAUAAGGGGACACUGGGGACACAGAAAAGCCACGUCUUCAUCAGCGGAGGAAAUAGCUCAGGAAAACUCCUAUGCGUUCUUUGGUUUCCCUCAUUAUUAAGACCAAUCAUAGGAAAAUGAGAAAGGAAAAUCCACUCUUCCACCCGAUAUGUGUGUUCUUGUGACUCCCACCUGAUGGAGACGGUUGCUAGGAAACUGUGACCACAGUCUGCAGAUUCUGUCAAGGAGAAAGGACCCCCUCACCCCUGAGUUCUCCUUGAAACUCACAAAGUGCUUAGCUGCAGCCUGUGGUGCAGCAUUCAGGAGAGUUAAUGCUGGCAAUUCACAGAGAAGGGAACUGAAGAUUAGGGGCAUCAGGUAGGCAGCUGGUCAUGGCACCAGCGUGUGGCUUGGAGCCAGCUCCCCUGCUGCCCAGGGAGGUGCUGUCUCUAUUCCAUUGCACUGCCCUCAAGAAGAGGGACCUAGUUCAAAACCAGAAAGGUGAGGCUGCCAUGGUCUGCCCUUUUGGGGCACCUCUGGAAGAGGGUACCUCUUCACCGAAUGUCUUCCUUUGUGUGUUCUCACAGGAUGGCAAUCCCAGGUCUGGAUUAAUGCCUGUGUCUGCUGAAAAACAGUGGGACAGACAGUGCUGGUCCAUGGCUGCCUUCAAAAUGCUACUAAAUUUCUGUCUGCCAUAAAGUGGAGAGAAAAAGAGUGCAAAACUAAAACGGGAAGUUUCCUCAUCUAGAAAACAACGAUGAUGAUGAUGUCAGUGAUAACCUAUUUUGUACGUUCUCAUAAAUGUUUUUUAGGGUUUGAAGCAACAUGGAUCUCUCAAAUGUGAGCACCAAGACUGAAAACCACUAAGGAUAAUGAGAAGCUGUCUUUGUGCACACAUUUUGGUCUCCUCCCAUCCAUGCUGGAAAUAGCCACUUCAAUAUCAUCAGAAGGACAACUUGAAGAGAAACUUAAAAGAGCUGCUCCCUGUCUCACCUCAGCAAACAUCCCCUUGUGUGUGGCUGGGCCUGGCAGCUAAAAGUGGAAUAUGCUAAAAGAAAAAAAAAAGUCACUGAGCACUGGAUGCCGAGGACAGCUGGAGUGCGUGGGAUGUGGGACGCUAUUUUUUCCUAGCUGCUUUGGAAACCAAGCAGAUGGGUGGCUACUUGAUGACAUCAGGGGCCAUGGAUGGUGCAUUCCAGCUGCUGACCACAUGAACACGUUUACUAUGGGCAAAGAAGAGAAUUUCCCUCCUGCGCUCUGCUUCUCCCUUGGUCCCAGCUUCCUUAGAUUGUUUUUCUGGGCUAUUGAAAUCAUGUCUGCCU
rnacentral:lncRNA from 1 species